rnacentral:lncRNA from 1 species
GGCAGUUUCUUAAAAACAAACCAACCCACAAAAACAUAAUUUGGCUAGAGAGGCGGCCUAUUUUAAAGUAGGUGUGGCUAUAAAAUUCAAAGUGGGCAUUCAUAUAGGAAUUUAUUUUUGUGAGUAAUCUGAGGGUACAGACCGAGUCUCCUUCCUUCAGGAUUCUUUAGGAUUUCUGGGAUCAAGGAAUAACAAAAUAUCUACUGCAAUAGUGACCAACACCAACUAAACACCAUGAAGUGCUACACGCCACUGGAUGUGGUUUUAACUCUACGUGGUUAAGCAGACUAAAGUAAGACAGCACAUGUGCUCGCCAGCCAGACCACGGCCGCCGAGCCACAGAUAAGAGUCUGAGACAGGAAGAGGAAGCGCUAUCGUGGGGACCCGCAUUCCAGGUCUGCCCUGCAGACCCGGCCACCUUCGUUUCAGGGCACGGAAGCACGAGGAUUGAGGAUUCCGCACUGAGGAUAAUGGGGUGCUCCUCAAACUCUUAACUGACACACUGUCUCCCAUGUGGCUGUUGUUCUUUGAAUUCCUUUAGCGGGGAAUCCUGAAGGUGGAAGAGGGGAGUGUAGUUUAGGCCAUAAAAUAUCAUACUUCCAUGCAACCUUACCUUCAACUUUUAAGUUUCAAUUGUCAAAAAAAUCCUGAGAAGUAGGGCUUAUUAAACUUGUCAUAUCGAUGAGAGAACAGGCCCAGAGAGUUCUCUUGGCAA